GGCCCCGCCCCGCCAAUAGUGCGGGCUCUGCCGCGGAGCCGGGGCCGGCUCGGGGUGGUUCCCGAGCGGCGGCGCCGCUCCUCGGUGCCGGCGGCGGGCGGGGAAGAGCGGGCAGCCAUGGGGUUGCGCAGGGUCCGCCGGGUCUCGCGCGGCGGAGCUCGCCCGCCCGGGCGCCGGGGCACGGGCGGGGCGGGGUGGUCCCACCCCCGCGGGCGGAGCCGGGUCCGGUCGACAAGAUGGCGGCGGGCCUGAGGGCGGUGAGGCGCUGGGGGUUGGUGGCGGCACCACCCAGCCUUGCUUUUACUCGUUCUGCGUCUGUUGUGAAAAAAGCAAAUAAUGCCGAACCAAACUGGCUGGGAGUUGGAUUGGCAUUUGGCACCAGUGCUGCCUUGUGGGCUCUUCUCUUCAAGCAGCAUAAUGAAGAUGUCAUGGAAUAUGAAAGAAGAAAACAAGCGAGAGAACAUAAGUGUACACAAUGUUCAUAGCUGAUGACAUGGUCACAAAGAGAUGUGCACUACAGGGUCAAGUGUAUGUGGUCGUUGUUCUACAAAUAAAUGAGCACAGAAGAAUUAAAAAGUUACCCCAGUUACUUGUAUGUUCAUGCAUUUUAUGUGCAUAAUUAAAAAUAAAUUAUAAAGUCUAGAAGAAACCUGAAACUACUUUCUUUACCAUUAUUAUUUCAUUCUGCUGGUCUUGAAGUUGUUUUAUGUUUUUAUUUCCAUUUCAUAGUUUUUCAGUCUUACUUUCAAAACUGCCUUUGCUAUUCUGGAAGGUAUAUUACAAAAUUAAAUAUCAGUUCAGAUGAAGUUCAGUUAAUAUUCCAGAAGUGUAGUCUUGCUCUGCCAUCACUUUCACUGCUAAAUUUAUAAAAUUAGCAAGUAUAAGAAUAGGAUUUAUUAUAAAUGCUAAGAUACGCAUUUUCUUGUGAGCAUUUUGGGGACUGGCCAUGCCAGAAAGGUGCCCACAGGAGAUGGGCUGCACAGUGCAGCCCAUGUCAGUCUUGGGUGUGAGCACUUCCUUCUGAGCACUCCUGCCCUCUCUUUGUGCAUCAAGGUCAGUCAAGGACAAAGGCUGGAAAAAUGGCCUCAUGGCAGAAUAUGGCAUUAGAUGAUCAUUGAACGAACAAAGAAGCUCUGUAUGGAAAAAGGAGGAGAAACAGGGCUACUGCCUAACAAUGUAGGUAGGACAAGGAUAGCUGUCCAGGUAUGACCUGGAGAUGCCCGUGACUGUGACAGUCGACGUCCCAGAGCAGCGAUUCGCUUCCAGUGUCUCACUGCCAACACCGAACGCCUUUGGCACGUUGCUUAACCCGAGUGCCCUUCGCCGUGAGUUUAGUUGAUUUCUCCAUUUUUUUUUCUCUUGGAGAAAUUCCUUUUUAAGUAGGACAGUAGUUCCUUUCUAUCUUCCUUCUCCUUGGUCAAUGGCAUCCCUAUUAUCCCGGGUCUGUUGUCGCAGUCAGUACCGAGCGCCAUUUACUUGCCGUGGGGCAGGUCGGUGUCGGCAGCGCCCGGCUCUGCGCGCUGUGCGCUCCUCUCCGGGAAGCCGCUUCCCCCUCCCGCUGCAGCCGGGGCUCUGCUCCCUCCCGCCGCCACCGCGCCGUCCCCGGAGCACCCCCGGCCGGGAGCUGCGUCCAGGUGCGCGGGGCGGGGCUGCGGCUCGACCCGCCCCCGCGGCACCCGAGGCGGGACCGGUGUCUGCCGCCGCAUCCCCGCCACGACGGGCAGCCGAGAGUCUGCUUCGUCCUGCUCCGCUCCGCUGCCCGCUGCUCCAUCUCCAUGUCCCUCUGCAGGGCCGCCUCGCAGGCGCUGGCCUCCCGCCUGAGCCGGGCUCCUGCCGCCGCCAGCCGCCUCAAGCAGCGUGGCCUACAGAAUAGUCAAUUCACCCCGCAGCAAUUUUGUUGAAAAUACAAACAUACUUCGUGAGAGAGCCGAGGGGCAGAAAAGCAAUCCUUGGUCAAGAAAGGACACAAGGGAAAUCUCUUUGCAAACCUGAGGAAGUUAAAUACAAACAAAGGACAAUCGUUUACCAUUGAGUACAUUGCAGCCUACCUUGGGAUGACUUUAGACCUCCUAUUGUAAAACUCCAUUUGUGUGAGACUUUAAAAGAACUACCUAUGUUUGCAAGGCCAAACCAUAUUGAGCUUAUUACUGAAUCUGCUUUGUAGAAGGCAGUUCUGAGAUGCAGAAGCUGGCUGUUCUGAAUUAAUGCACUCUAUAUUUGACUGUCCAAUAAAGUGUACUGAAUGCUGA